rnacentral:rRNA from 1 species
GAAACCGUUCAGGGGUAAACCUGAGAAACCCAAAAGAUCGAAUGGGGAGAUUCAUCGUCAACAACGCUGGCUCCCGUUGGUGCGUGAUGCCCCGAAUGGACCUUCGGGUUUCAUUAGCGAGGGCACACCAUCAUCGGCGAACGUUCCGGCGAAGUAGUCGUGCACUUCUCCCCUAGUAGAACGUCGCGACCCGUUGCGUGUCGGUCUACGGUCCGAGGCGGAGCCUGUCCGUCGCGUUUAACGCGUUCGUGACAGACCCUCGGUUGCCCGGCCGACUGCGCGACGGUACUCAAACGGUAUCGGGCCGCAACCAAUCCAUUUUCGAAUGUGUGUGCGUCAGGACCGUCGCAAGCUCGGUUCAGUUUACCCUCGGAUGUACGGACUAUGUGCCGUCCCCGAGCCUGGCCAGCUGUUAGCAGACGGAGUCCUUGGACUGGCCAAGCUUCGAAUUACCGGUCGGCGACGCUAUUGCUUUGGGUACUCUCAGGACCCGUCUUGAAACACGGACCAAGGAGUCUAACAUGUACGCGAGUCAUUGGGAUAUAUAAACCUAAAGGCGAAAUGAAAGUGAAAGUCGUCCUUUGCGUCGACCUAGGGAGGAUGGGCCUCGUUACGAUUAGGCCUCGCACUCCCGGGGCGUCUCGUUCUCAUUACGAGAAGAGGCGCACCUAGAGCGUACACGUUGGGACCCGAAAGAUGGUGAACUAUGCCUGGUCAGGACGAAGUCAGGGGAAACCCUGAUGGAGGUCCGUAGCGAUUCUGACGUGCAAAUCGAUCGUCGGAACUGGGUAUAGGGGCGAAAGACUAAUCGAACCAUCUAGUAGCUGGUUCCCUCCGAAGUUUCCCUCAGGAUAGCUGGCACUCGCUCUAACACGUGCGAGUCUCAUCUGGUAAAGCGAAUGAUUAGAGGCCUUGGGGCCGAAACGACCUCAACCUAUUCUCAAACUUUAAAUGGGUGAGAUCUCUGGCUUGCUUGGAUUUCAAAUGAAGCCAUGAGAUAUUUUGGAUCAGAGUGCCAAGUGGGCCAAUUUUGGUAAGCAGAACUGGCGCUGUGGGAUGAACCAAACGCAGAGUUAAGGCGCCUAAGUCGACGCUUAUGGGAUACCAUGAAAGGCGUUGGUUGCUUAAGACAGCAGGACGGUGGCCAUGGAAGUCGGAA